rnacentral:rRNA from 1 species
GACGAACGCUGGCGGCGUGCUUAACACAUGCAAGUCGAGCGGUAAGGCCCUUUCGGGGUACACGAGCGGCGAACGGGUGAGUAACACGUGGGUGACCUGCCUCUAGCUCUGGGAUAAGCCUGGGAAGCUGGGUCUAAUACCGGAUAUGACCUCGCGGUGCAUGUUGCGGGGUGGAAAGCCUUGUGCGGCUAGGGAUGGGCCCGCGGCCUAUCAGCUUGUUGGUGGGGUGAUGGCCUACCAAGGCGACGACGGUAGCCGGCCUGAGAGGGCGACCGGCCACACUGGGACUGAGACACGGCCCAGACUCCUACGGGAGGCAGCAGUGGGGAAUCUUGCGCAAUGGGCGAAAGCCUGACGCAGCGACGCCGCGUGAGGGAUGACGGCC